rnacentral:tRNA from 1 species
CAAAGGAUGGCUGAGUUUAGGCGAAUGAUUGUAGAUCUUUUUACGGAGUAUUCCUUCUUUGA